GGAGGAGUCCACUUGAAAGACAAUGUUAAAAGGGUCAUGGAGAAGGAAGGGAAGGGCAAGCUUGCCUUCACGAAGCUCCAGCUCUUCACUGUUGUUACAGGGGUUGGAGAAGUUGGAGGCCCGUGGGGUGCGUCUCCCCACCCUUAAACCAACCCUGGUUCCAGUUGGCGGGCCUCCUCCA